GAAGGGUGUUACUAUGGUGGUGGACUUUGAGACCCUCCUCCUAGCUACAUGGGAGCCAGUCUUCUCCUAGUGACCUAGAUGAAGAUGUAGAACUCUCAGCUCCUCCUAUACCAUGCCUUCCUGGACACUGACAUUGCUCCUGUCUUGAUGAUAAUGGACUGAAUCUCCGAACCUUUCCAGGACUGUGGAAACAAGGGUACUGAAGAAACCGAAGUCUCCCUCAGGCACUGCAUACCAGAAGAAAGGCUGUAGCCUAGUGCCAGCCAAAGAGGGAACAUGCCCACUGGUGCGAGGUUCCACACAGUUCUGACAGUCUCUGUCAUCUGUCAGGCUACCCUGCAGAGAAGACCGAAGCCUAGACAUGACCAGAGCCACACCUUGACCAGAUUACUGCUUAGCUCUGCACACCUUGCCUUCGGUCUAGACUUCACACCCAUGUCAGGAUCCCGAGGACAGUCCCGCAGGGUCACACCGCAUCUCUUUGUUUCUCUUCCUCAUGUGGCCUCCUUGAAUCACUCUUACCUUUUCCUUUAACUAUAUUACCCCUCCCCCUCCAAACCGUCCUGUGUGCCCAACACACUCAUCCCCUCUCAAAUUCACGG
rnacentral:lncRNA from 1 species